GUCGAGCGAACAGACGAGGAGCUUGCUCCUCUGACGUUAGCGGCGGACGGGUGAGUAACACGUGGAUAACCUACCUAUAAGACUGGGAUAACUUCGGGAAACCGGAGCUAAUACCGGAUAAUAUAUUGAACCGCAUGGUUCAAUAGUGGAAGACGGUUUUGCUGUCACUUAUAGAUGGAUCCACGCCGCAUUAGCUAGUUGGUAAGGUAACGGCUUACCAAGGCAACGAUGCGUAGCCGACCUGAGAGGGUGAUCGGCCACACUGGAACUGAGACACGGUCCAGACUCCUACGGGAGGCAGCAGUAGGGAAUCUUCCGCAAUGGGCGAAAGCCUGACGGAGCAACGCCGCGUGAGUGAUGAAGGUCUUCGGAUCGUAAAACUCUGUUAUUAGGGAAGAGCAAAUGUGUAAGUAACUAUGCACGUCUUGACGGUACCUAAUCAGAAAGCCACGGCUAACUACGUGCCAGCAGCCGCGGUAAUACGUAGGUGGCAAGCGUUAUCCGGAAUUAUUGGGCGUAAAGCGCGCGUAGGCGGUUUUUUAAGUCUGAUGUGAAAGCCCACGGCUCAACCGUGGAGGGUCAUUGGAAACUGGAAAACUUGAGUGCAGAAGAGGAAAGUGGAAUUCCACGUGUAGCGGUGAAAUGCGCAGAGAUAUGGAGGAACACCAGUGGCGAAGGCGACUUUCUGGUCUGUAACUGACGCUGAUGUGCGAAAGCGUGGGGAUCAA
rnacentral:rRNA from 1 species